rnacentral:rRNA from 1 species
UGAGUAACGCGUAUGUAAUCUACCUGUAACAGAGGGAUAACCCGGAGAAAUCCGGACUAAUACCUCAUAGCACAUAUUAUUCGCAUGAAUUUUAUGUUAAAGAGACUCGGUUACAGAUGAACAUGCGUUCCAUUAGCUGGUUGGCGGGGUCACGGCCCACCAAGGCAACGAUGGAUAGGGGUUCUGAGAGGAAGGUCCCCCACACUGGUACUGAGACACGGACCAG